rfam:Arabidopsis lyrata subsp. lyrata unplaced genomic scaffold ARALYscaffold_1, whole genome shotgun sequence.
GGGAUACACUUGAUCUCUGAACUUCAUAGGUAAGUUUUCUUGUUGAUAACUUCUGGUAUGCUGUGUC